AUGCCGCGUGCAGGAAGACGGCCCUAUGGGUUGUAAACUGCUUUUAUAUAGGAAGAAACCUACUUACGUGUAAGUAGCUGACGGUACUAUAAGAAUAAGGAUCGGCUAACUCCGUGCCAGCAGCCGCGGUAAUACGGAGGAUCCAAGCGUUAUCCGGAAUCAUUGGGUUUAAAGGGUCCGUAGGUGGAUAAUUAAGUCAGAGGUGAAAUCUUGCAGCUCAACUGUAAAAUUGCCUUUGAUACUGGUUAUCUUGAGUUAUUAUGAAGUAGUUAGAAUAUGUAGUGUAGCGGUGAAAUGCAUAGAUAUUACAUAGAAUACCAAUUGCGAAGGCAGAUUACUAAUAAUCAACUGACACUGAUGGACGAAAGCGUGGGUAGCGAACAGGAUUAGAUACCCUGGUAGUCCACGCCGUAAACGAUGGUUACUAGCUGUUUGGACCUUGUGUCUGAGUGGCUAAGCGAAAGUGAUAAGUAACCCACCUGGGGAGUACGUUCGCAAGAAUGAAACUCAAAGGAAUUGACGGGGGCCCGCACAAGCGGUGGAGCAUGUGGUUUAAUUCGAUGAUACGCGAGGAACCUUACCAGGGCUUAAAUGUAAGUUGCAUUAGUUAGAGAUAGCUAUUUCUUCGGACCACUUACAAGGUGCUGCAUGGUUGUCGUCAGCUCGUGCCGUGAGGUGUCAGGUUAAGUCCUAUAACGAGCGCAACCCCUGUUGUUAGUUGCCAGCGAGUCAUG
rnacentral:rRNA from 1 species